GUUGCCACCCAGACCACUCCAAUUGGCAGAAGUGGUCUGGCCUUGAUUGUCCCUUUAACUAGCUCAUCCACUCUCCUCUGUUUAUUUACUUUUUCUGGCUAUUCUCAGCCAACCUGCACCUUUCACUUUCAGGCACAUCUUCUAUUUAUGACACCCCACUCACCUCCCUCCCCUUUUCUAACACCAGUUGUUUUAAGUGUUAAACUCUAUCAGAUUUAUUGGUAUUGCUUCAGACCUGAGGAAGAGAGGAAAACUCUCGAAAGCUUGUCUUUGAAAUAUUAUGUAAGUCCAAUAAAAAAAGGUAUCAUUGCAAUACUCUAUUUUUGAGAUAUGUGCAAUAUUCUGCAGCUCUCCCCCUCAUUAUUUUACUCUUCAGUCCUCUACAAAUGACACCAAACGGUUUU